UACGUAGGGGGGCAAGCGUUGUCCGGAUUUAUUGGGCGUAAAGAGCGUGUAGGCGGCCUGACAGGUCUGCUGUGAAAACUCGAGGCUCAACCUCGAGACGUCGGCGGAAACCAUCUGGCUAGAGUCCGGAAGAGGAGAGUGGAAUUCCUGGUGUAGCGGUGAAAUGCGCAGAUAUCAGGAAGAACACCCGUGGCGAAGGCGGCUCUCUGGGACGGUACUGACGCUGAGACGCGAAAGCGUGGGGAGCAAACAGG
rnacentral:rRNA from 1 species